rnacentral:rRNA from 1 species
AACGAACGCUGGCGGCAUGCCUAACACAUGCCAGUCGAACGAGACCUUCGGGUCUAGUGGCGCACGGGUGCGUAACGCGUGGGAACCUGCCCUUAGGUUCGGAAUAACUCCCCGAAAGGGGUGCUAAUACCGGAUAAUGUCUUCGGACCAAAGAUUUAUCGCCUUUGGAUGGGCCUGCGUUGGAUUAGCUAGUUGGUAGGGUAAAAGCCUACCAAGGCGACGAUCCAUAGCUGGUCUGAGAGGAUGAUCAGCCACACUGGGACUGAGACACGGCCCAGACUACUACGGGAGGCAGCAGUGGGGAAUAUUGGACAAUGGGCGAAAGCCUGAUCCAGCAAUGCCGCGUGAGUGAUGAAGGCCUUAGGGUUGUAAAGCUCUUUUACCCGGGAUGAUAAUGACAGUACCGGGAGAAUAAGCUCCGGCUAACUCCGUG